AUAUGAUGAUGAUGAUGAUGAUGAUGAUGAUGAUGAUUUUCACCACCCUCAUCACCAUGAUAU
rnacentral:miRNA from 1 species